UAUUCCAGUUGUUUCCUGACACUGAUCCUGACCCCCAGCCCUGAUCCUGAAACUGGUCCUGAAACUGAUCCUAAUCCUGAUCUUGAUCCUGAUCAUAAUCCUGCUCUUAAUCCUGACCCUGACCCUGACCCUGAUCCUAAUCCUGAUCCUGAUCCUAAUCCUAAAACUGAUCCUGAUCCAGACCCUGAUCCUGAUCUUAAUCCUAAAAUUGAUCCUGAUCCUGACCCUGAUCCUGAUCCUGACCCUGAUCCUAAUCCUAAUCCUAAUCCUAAAACUGAUCCUGAUCCUGAAAUUUAUACUGAUCCUGAUCUUAAUCCUAAAACUGAUCCUGAUCCCGAUCCUGACCCUGACCCUGAUCCUGAUCCUGGUCUUGAUCCUAAUCCUCAUCUUCAUCCUCAUCCUGAUCCUAAUCCUGAUCCUGACCCUGACCCUGAAACUGGUUCUGAAACUGAUCCAAAUCCUGAUCCUAAUCCUGAUCCUAAUCCUGAUCCUAAUCCUUAUCCUGAUCCUAAUCCUGAUCUUAAUCCUGAUCCUAAUCCUGAUCUUGAUCCUGAUCCUGAUCAUAAUCCUGCUUUUAAUCCUGAUCCUGAUCCUCAUCCUGAUCCUGACCCUGAUCCUGACCCUGAUCCUGAUCCUGGUCUUGAUCCUAAUCCUCAUCUUCAUCCUCAUCCUGAUCCUAAUCCUGAUCCUGACCCUGAAACUGGUCCUGAAACUGAUCCAAAUCCUGAUCCUAAUCCUGAUCCUGAUCAUAAUCCUGAUCUUAAUCCUGAUCCUAAUUCUGAUCCUGAUCAUAAUCCUGCUUUUAAUCCUGAUCCUCAUCCUGAUCCUGACCCUGACCCUGAUCCUGACCCUGAUCCUAAUCCUGAUCCUGAUCCUAAUCCUAAAACUGAUCCUGAUCCUGACCCUGAUCCUGAUCCUGACCCUGAUCCUAAUCCUAAUCCUAAUCCUAAAACUGAUCCUGAUCCUGAAAUUUAUACUGAUCCUGAUCUUAAUCCUAAAACUGAUCCUGAUCCUGAUCCUGCCCCUGACCCUGAUCCUGAUCCUGGUCUUGAUCCUAAUCCUCAUCUUCAUCCUCAUCCUGAUCCUAAUCCUGAUCCUGACCCUGAAACUGGUCCUGAAACUGAUCCAAAUCCUGAUCCUAAUCCUGAUCCUGAUCAUAAUCCUGAUCUUAAUCCUGAUUCUAAUUCUGAUCCUGAUCAUAAUCCUGCUUUUAAUCCUGAUCCUGAUCCUCAUCCUGAUCCUGACCCUGAUCCUGACCCUGAUCCUGAUCCUGGUCUUGAUCCUAAUCCUCAUCUUCAUCCUCAUCCUGAUCCUAAUCCUGAUCCUGACCCUGACCCUGAAACUGGUUCUGAAACUGAUCCAAAUCCUGAUCCUGAUCCUGAUCCUAAUCCUGAUCCUAAUCCUUAUCCUGAUCCUAAUCCUGAUCUUAAUCCUGAUCCUAAUCCUGAUCUUAAUCCUGAUCCUAAUCCUGAUCUUGAUCCUGAUCCUGAUCAUAAUCCUGCUUUUAAUCCUGAUCCUGAUCCUCAUCCUGAUCCUGACCCUGAUCCUGACCCUGAUCCUGAUCCUGGUCUUGAUCCUAAUCCUCAUCUUCAUCCUCAUCCUGAUCCUAAUCCUGAUCCUGAC
rnacentral:lncRNA from 1 species